UGGCACUGCCCGGUAGCUAAAUGCGGAAGAGAUAAGUGCUGAAAGCAUCUAAGCACGAAACUUGCCCCGAGAUGAGUUCUCCCUGAGACUUUAGGUCUCCUGAAGGAACGUUGAAGACGACGACGUUGAUAGGCCGGGUGUGUAAGCGCAGCGAUGCGUUGAGCUAACCGGUACUAAUGAACCGUGAGGCUUAACCUU
rnacentral:rRNA from 1 species